rnacentral:rRNA from 1 species
ACUGAACGCUGGCGGCAUGCCUUACACAUGCAAGUCGAACGGCAGCACGGGUGCUUGCACCUGGUGGCGAGUGGCGAACGGGUGAGUAAUACAUCGGAACAUGUCCUGUAGUGGGGGAUAGCCCGGCGAAAGCCGGAUUAAUACCGCAUACGAUCCACGGAUGAAAGCGGGGGACCUUCGGGCCUCGCGCUAUAGGGUUGGCCGAUGGCUGAUUAGCUAGUUGGUGGGGUAAAGGCCUACCAAGGCGACGAUCAGUAGCUGGUCUGAGAGGACGACCAGCCACACUGGGACUGAGACACGGCCCAGACUCCUACGGGAGGCAGCAGUGGGGAAUUUUGGACAAUGGGCGAAAGCCUGAUCCAGCAAUGCCGCGUGUGUGAAGAAGGCCUUCGGGUUGUAAAGCACUUUUGUCCGGAAAGAAAUCCUUGGCUCUAAUACAGUCGGGGGAUGACGGUACCGGAAGAAUAAGCACCGGCUAACUACGUG